CCGCCCGUCACACCAUGGGAGUGAGCUGCUCCAGAAGCCGUUAGUCUAACCGCAAGGGGACGACGACCACGGAGUGGUAGGAUCAAUGACUGGGGCG
rnacentral:rRNA from 1 species